rnacentral:snRNA from 1 species
AGAGAAUCGCUUGAACCCAGGAGGCGAAGGUUGCAGUGAGCCGAGAUUGCACUACUGCACUCCAGCCUGGGAGACAGAG